AUCACGUCGCUCACAACAAACAUCCNGUUUGGAUUUCGUUGUAUGUGGGCGGAUACUGGUCUCCUGUGCCUACGGUGCNGUUGGCCCAAACACGAGUCCGCUUAAGAGUGACGCACGACUGGUGGUGGUUGAUUAAACAGUCGUCUCGUGUCGUGUGAAUUUGAUUCUUGAACGGAUAACNCUUAAACUACCUUGAUGUGCCGUCUUGUGACGGCUCUUCGAUC
rnacentral:rRNA from 1 species